rnacentral:tmRNA from 1 species
GGGGGUGCCUGGUUUUGACAGCGUAGAUCUUUGGAAGUGUAAGCAUGUACUGCGUUGCGUAAUUAGCAGUUUAAUCUGAAUACGAAAACUAUAAAUGGCAAUACACAGUAUGCCAUGGCUGCCUAAUCAGUGAUUAAGUAGUCAUAUGGGCCGCCGGGCCGGUUGAUCUGUUACCAUGCCCCGCCGCCGACUCAACAACAAAACAGGUUGCUGCAAUCAUAGGCUGUGCUGAUUGCUCAAGACUAUUCAGCUAAGGAAUUAAUCGGUUGUCUUUUUCCAGUUGGUUCCCGACAUAACAAAAUUGAAUAAACAUGUAGAAAGCUUUUGAAGAAUAUGUUUGGACAGGGGUUCGAUUCCCCUCACCUCCACAA